GCUAGGUGUGGUGGCGUGCACCUGUAAUCCCAGCUACUUGGGAGGCUGAGGUGGAAGAAUUGCUUGAACCCGGGAGACAGAGGUUGCAGUGAGCCAGGAUCAUGCCACUGCACUCCAGCCUGGGUGACAGAGCGAGACUCGGUCUCAA
rnacentral:SRP_RNA from 2 species